GCACUGCUGAGGAGUCCCUGAUAGGACGAAACGACCGUCCAGUGC
rnacentral:hammerhead_ribozyme from 1 species